UCCUUGUUGGUCUAGUGGUAUGUCUCUUAUCUCUGACUCGGUUAAUAGACCGGGGUUCGAUUCCCCGACAGGGAG